UACGUAGGGGGGCAAGCGUUGUCCGGAUUUAUUGGGCGUAAAGAGCGUGUAGGCGGCCUGACAAGUCUGCUGUGAAAACUCGAGGCUCAACCUCGAGAUGUCGGCGGAAACUGUCUGGCUAGAGUCCGGAAGAGGAGAGUGGAAUUCCUGGUGUAGCGGUGAAAUGCGCAGAUAUCAGGAAGAACACCUAUGGCGAAGGCAGCUCUCUGGGACGGUACUGACGCUGAGACGCGAAAGCUAGGGGAGCGAACGGG
rnacentral:rRNA from 1 species